UUGCCAGACUCCUACGGGAGGCAGCAGUGGGGGAUAUUGCACAAUGGGGGGAACCCUGAUGCAGCGACGCCGCGUGGGUGAAGGAGCGUUUCGGCGCGUAAAGCCCUAUCGGCAGGGAAGAAGGAGGACGGUACCUGACUAAGAAGCCCCGACUAACUACGUGCCAGCAGCCGCGGUAAUACGUAGGGGGCAAGCGUUAUCCGGAUUUACUGGGUGUAAAGGGGGCGCAGACGGCAGCGCAAGCCAGGAGUGAAAGCCCGGGGCCCAACCCCGGGACUGCUCUUGGAACUGCGCGGCUGGAGUGCAGGAGGGGCAGGCGGAAUUCCUGGUGUAGCGGUGAAAUGCAUAGAUAUCACGCAGAACUCCGAUUGCGAAGGCAGCGCACCGGCGCCCUACUGACGCUCAGGCACGAAAGCGUGGGUAUCGAACAGGAUUAGAUACCCCCGUAC
rnacentral:rRNA from 1 species